rnacentral:rRNA from 1 species
UNUGGAGUAAAAGGCUAUGGCUCAACCAUAGUGUGNUCUGGAAACUGUCUGACUUGAGUGCAGAAGGGGAGAGUGGAAUUCCAUGUGUAGCGGUGAAAUGCGUAGAUAUAUGGAGGAACACCAGUGGCGAAAGCGGCUCUCUGGUCUGUCACUGACGCUGAGGCUCGAAAGCGUGGGUAGCGAACAGGAUUAGAUACCCUGGUAGUCCACGCCGUAAACGAUGAGUGCUAGGUGUUAGGCCCUUUCCGGGGCUUAGUGCCGGAGCUAACGCAAUAAGCACUCCGCCUGGGGAGUACGACCGCAAGGUUGAAACUCAAUGGAAUUGACGGGGGCCCGCACAAGCGGUGGAGCAUGUGGUUUAAUUCGAAGCAACGCGAAGAACCUUACCAGGUCUUGACAUCCCGAUGCUAUUCUUAGAGAUAGGAAGUUACUUCGGUACAUCGGAGACAGGUGGUGCAUGGUUGUCGUCAGCUCGUGUCGUGAGAUGUUGGGUUAAGUCCCGCAACGAGCGCAACCCUUAUUGUUAGUUGCCAUCAUUAAGUUGGGCACUCUAGCGAGACUGCCGGUAAUAAACCGGAGGAAGGUGGGGAUGACGUCAAAUCAUCAUGCCCCUUAUGACCUGGGCUACACACGUGCUACAAUGGUCGGUACAACGAGUUGCGAGCCGGUGACGGCAAGCUAAUCUCUGAAAGCCGAUCUCAGUUCGGAUUGGAGGCUGCAACUCGCCUCCAUGAAGUCGGAAUCGCUAGUAAUCGCGGAUCAGCACGCCGCGGUGAAUACGUUCCCGGGCCUUGUACACACCGCCCGUCACACCACGAGAGUUUGUAACACCCGAAGUCGGUGAGGUAACCUUUUAGGGNCCA